GAUGAACGCUGGCGGCGUGCCUAAUACAUGCAAGUCGAGCGAACAGACGAGGAGCUUGCUCCUCUGACGUUAGCGGCGGACGGGUGAGUAACACGUGGAUAACCUACCUAUAAGACUGGGAUAACUUCGGGAAACCGGAGCUAAUACCGGAUAAUAUAUUGAACCGCAUGGUUCAAUAGUGAAAGACGGUUUUGCUGUCACUUAUAGAUGGAUCCGCGCCGCAUUAGCUAGUUGGUAAGGUAACGGCUUACCAAGGCAACGAUGCGUAGCCGACCUGAGAGGGUGAUCGGCCACACUUGAACUGAGACACGGUCCAGACUCCGACGGGAGGCAACAGUAGGGAAUCUUCCGCAAUGGGCGAAAGCUUGACGGAGCAACGCCGCGUGAGUGAUGAAGGUCUUCGGAUCGUAAAACUCUGUUAUUAGGGAAGAACAAAUGUGUAAGUAACUAUGCACGUCUUGACGGUACCUAAUCAGAAAGCCACGGCUAACUACGU
rnacentral:rRNA from 1 species